UACGGAAGGCAGCAGUGGGGAAUAUUGCACAAUGGGCGAAAGCCUGAUGCAGCUAUGCCGCGUGUAUGAAGAAGGCCUUAGGGUUGUAAAGUACUUUCAUCGGGGAGGAAAAAACAAAACUAAUAAUUUUAUUUCUUGACGUUACCCGAAAAAGAAGCACCGGCUAACUCCGUGCCAGCAGCCGCGGUAAUACGGAGGGUGCUAGCGUUAAUCAGAAUUACUGGGCGUAAAGAGCACGUAGGUGGUUUUUUUAAGUCAGAUGUGAAAUCCCUGGGCUUAACCUAGGAACUGCAUUUUGAAACUGAAAUACUAGAGUAUCGUAGAGGGAGGUAGAAUUCUAGGUGUAGCGGUGAAAUGCGUAGAUAUCUGGAGGAAUACCUGUGGCGAAAGCGGCCUCCUAAACGAAUACUGACACUGAGGUGCGAAAGCGUUGGGGAGCGAAACAGGGAUUAGAUACC
rnacentral:rRNA from 1 species